GACGAACGCUGGCGGCGUGCCUAAUACAUGCAAGUCGAGCGGACGAAUCGAAAGCUUGCUUUUGAUUCGUUAGCGGCGGACGGGUGAGUAACACGUGGGCAACCUGCCCUGUAGACGGGGAUAACACCGAGAAAUCGGUGCUAAUACCGGAUAACACGAAAUGUCGCAUGACGUUUCGUUGAAAGACGGCGCAAGCUGUCGCUACAGGAUGGGCCCGCGGCGCAUUAGCUAGUUGGUGAGGUAACGGCUCACCAAGGCGACGAUGCGUAGCCGACCUGAGAGGGUGAUCGGCCACACUGGGACUGAGACACGGCCCAGACUCCUACGGGAGGCAGCAGUAGGGAAUCUUCCGCAAUGGACGAAAGUCUGACGGAGCAACGCCGCGUGAGCGAAGAAGGCCUUCGGGUCGUAAAGCUCUGUUGUUAGGGAAGAACAAGUAACGCAGUAACUGGCGUUACCAUGACGGUACCUAACGAGAAAGCCACGGCUAACUACGUG
rnacentral:rRNA from 1 species